AGAAAAAUGGCUGAGAGGUUUAUAGCGAAGAUCUGCUAAAUCUUUAUACAGGAACAGCUUGUAUCGUGGGUUCAAAUCCCACUUUUUCUA
rnacentral:tRNA from 1 species